CUGAAAGCAUCUAAGCGGGAAGCCCCUCCCAAGAUGAGAUCUCACUGGGACCAUGAGUCCCCUGAAGGGCCGUCGAAGACUACGACGUUGAUAGGCACGAUGUGGAAGCGCAGUAAUGUGUGCAGCUAACGUGUACUAAUUGCCCGUGAGGCUUGACCAU
rnacentral:rRNA from 1 species